GUAUUCCUGCCAUGCGCGUUACGACGCUUUAUUGUUUUGAACCAAUGUUAGUUUCAAAGGGAGCCCUAGAUUACGAACGCUGAUGACAUGCCCCCGAAAAGGGACGUCAAAGGCAAAGUUGCGAGCACCCACCUGCGAGAGCGGGUUCGAAACAAUUACGUUGGACGGCAAUGGCGGGUUUUUU
rnacentral:other from 1 species